AGCAAGGUGCAUCAGUUGGAAAUGUUGGAAAAACAUAAAUUUGAAGAGAGAAAGAUUGCUAAUCUAGUUGCAUUGUCAUCAGCCACAUGAAAGAGUUUAUCGACUCUAUACAAUAUGAUUUGGUUAACUGACUUUGGAAUGAAGAAGGGUAUUUUGAAGAAUCUCAAAUUGAGAAUUUAGUAGUAGAUUUAAUGUCGGGAUUUAUUAAAAAGAUAUUUUGAUCUUGUAAGCAUUAGUUUGUGUUUCAUACUUUUGUAAUUCCGUAUACUUGAACGGGUUGUUGGGUUGUGUAAUACUAGUUAACUUUUGUUGUGA